rnacentral:misc_RNA from 1 species
UCCGGUUUGGCACCGGCAGUCUCCAAUGAGUCCCCGGCAUUACCCGCUGGCAACAUUGGACAGGGGUUGCGCCCGUUGCGCCACUUAAGGCAACACCUCACGACACGAGCUGACGACAGCCAUGCACCACCUGUGAUGGUGUCCCGAAGGAAAGGUGUGUUUCCACACCGGUCACCAACAUGUCAAGCCCAGGUAAGGUUCUUCGCGUUGCGUCGAAUUAAGCCACAUGCUCCGCCGCUUGUGCGGGCCCCCGUCAAUUCCUUUGAGUUUUAGCCUUGCGGCCGUAGUCCCCAGGCGGGGUGCUUAACGCGUUAGCUGCGGCACAGGAUCCGUGGAUAGGACCCCACACCUAGCACCCAUCGUUUACGGCGUGAACUAC